GGUAGAGAUACUCCCAUUUAAUAUUGAUACUUUUCAUAUCCAAGCAUGUAUAUGGCUAGGUUGUAUAAUGUUUGUUAUAAUUAUCUAAAUUAUGUCCUUCCUUCCAUCUAUUGUUCUGUGUGUUGAUUUCUCACCACUCUGCAAGAAAGGGCAUUCAUGUCUAUUUCAUAGACGAUCCUACAUGUAGUUGCAAUUGAAUCAUAAAUUAUUCCCAAAGAGUUCAUGAUUUUAUCAUGUUUUGAAUAUAAUAUUUUUUCAAUAUCUAUUUUAGAUUUUACCAAAUACAGAACAUUGCAAGGCUUACAAAAUGAAGACCUCAGUAAAAAAAAUUCUAAAUUAUCCACUAAUGGCAGCUCACUACCUGCCCCUAGUGAUGUUAAAAGAGGCCGUUGUUCUCAUUUGUUCCAAAACAGGAAUGGCAUAUGAGGAGGCCAACAGAAGAUGCACCUCCACUGACCUCCACUGAGUGUGCACUCACAAAACGAAUAAAUUAUUAUUAUUUCUUUUGUUUGUAAUUGUAUAUUGUCAACAAGGUCAAAGGCACUUGAUCCGAUGCCAAACUUUUGCAUUUCUUUUGCUUUGUGGUAAAUUUUCUUCAGCAACAUUAACAUUGUUUAAAUUGUUUUCUUUGGAGAGUAUACAUGUACACAUGGAUCAUUUGUAUAUUAGAAUUAUAGCAUUGUUUAAUUCAACUCAUUCUUAUCAUAGAGAGGUUAUUAUAUACUGCAGGCAACGACUUGUAAAGGGUAUACUGUUUUAACUCACGUGCAAGGCAAGGCAGUAUUAUGAAACUCUGUAGUUGAUAAGGACAUAUAUCACAUAUCGAUAUGCAUAUUUACAGGAAACUCUGAUGUAUUUCAAAUCUGAACGUUAAUUUAAAAGUGGGGAGAAAUAGCAUUGGAUGAAAAAAGACACAUAUGAAGAAAAUUAUUCCAUACGUAAAUACUUUUUAGCUCACCUGAGCUGAAAGCUCAAGUGAGCUUUUCUGAUCGCCUGUUGUUCAUUGUCUGUCCGUGAUUAAACAUUUUAUAUUUUCUCCAGAAGCAAUGGGCCAAUAAUAACCAAACUUAGCCAAAAGUAUCCUUGGGUAAAGGACUUUCGAGUUUGUUCAAAUGAAGGGCCAUGCCCUCUUCAAAGGGGAGAUGACCACAAAAAUAGGGUGGGUCAUUUAAUUUUUUUUUUAUCAAGAACCACUGGGCCAGAAGAGCUGACAUGUACAUGAAAGCUUCCUGACAUAGUACAGAUUCAAGUUUAUUGAAAUAAUGGCCUCCAGGGGUUGUAUGGGGCCACAAUAGAGAAUCAAAGUUUUACAUACAAUUAUUCAGGAAAAAUCUUUCAAUAUGAGCCAAGGUGGCUCAGGUGAGCGAUGUGGCCCAUGGGCCUCUUGUUCAACAUAUAGAAUAAAUACAUGUAGUUAUGUUGUAUUUCCCAUGGAACAUUGAAACGUUUAAUGCGUUUACCAAUUAAUCACUGAAAGAAAGAUAAAAUUGUUGUUUCAUAUGUUUUAUGAAAACUUAAAAAUGUUUCAUUUCUUUUCAUGAAAGACCCCUUAAUUACCCAGUAAUAUAUAAUCAAUUCUUAACAGAUUAUGUAAAUUUGAUUUAUAUUAAGGAUGUUUGAUCUGAUUACCCAUCAUUAUCAAUCUGUCUAAUAUAGCCAUCAUGUGUUACUAUUGCUACGCAAUCUUGGAGCAUGAGGUAGAAUGCGAGCCAGCUCUUUCAUAAGUACAUGUAUCUGGAAAAUAUAUUUCAAUGUCAAAGGUUACAACAAUGUGAUAAUGUAAUCAUUGUAUGUCUAAGGUCUUGAUAAUAAAACUGUUAUCUGUUC